CAGCCGCCGCGGGAACACGUAGGUGGCAAGCGUUGUCCGGAAUUAUUGGGCGUAAAGCGCGCGCAGGCGGAUAGGUCAGUCUGUCUUAAAAGUUCGGGGCUUAACCCCGUGAUGAGAUGGAAACUACCAAUCUAGAGUAUCGGAGAGGAAAGUGGAAUUCCUAGUGUAGCGGUGAAAUGCGUAGAUAUUAGGAAGAACACCAGUGGCGAAGGCGACUUUCUGGACGAAAACUGACGCUGAGGCGCGAAAGCCAGGGGGGCGAACGGGAUUAGAUACCCCAGUAGUCCCUGUCUCUUAUACC
rnacentral:rRNA from 1 species